ACGGAGGGUCCAAGCGUUAUCCGGAAUCAUUGGGUUUAAAGGGUCCGUAGGCGGGCUAUUAAGUCAGAGGUGAAAGUUUGCAGCUCAACUGUAAAAUUGCCUUUGAAACUGGUAGUCUUGAAUUAUUAUGAAGUGGUUAGAAUAAGUAGUGUAGCGGUGAAAUGCAUAGAUAUUACUUAGAAUACCAAUUGCGAAGGCAGAUCACUAAUAAUAUAUUGACGCUGAGGGACGAAAGCGUGGGGAGCGAACAGG
rnacentral:rRNA from 1 species